UACAGAGGGUGCGAGCGUUGUUCGGAAUUAUUGGGCGUAAAGGGCGCGUAGGCGGUGCGGUAAGUCACCUGUGAAAUCUCCUGGCUCAACUGGGAGCUUGCAGGCGAAACUGCCGUGCUGGAGUGUGGGAGAGGUGCGUGGAAUUCCCGGUGUAGCGGUGAAAUGCGUAGAGAUCGGGAGGAACACCAGUGGCGAAGGCGGCCGGCUGGGGGUGACCUGACGCUGAGGCGCGAAAGCGUGGGGAGCGAACCGG
rnacentral:rRNA from 1 species